rnacentral:misc_RNA from 1 species
AACCAAAACAUCAUUACUUGUCCUUCCCCUAAAGACCCAUUUAAGUUACUACAUAUAUAUCUGGGUAAAGAUAAACUUCCAACGAUUGUUUUCAAUUUUUCACCAGUACUUUGUUUUUCAUAAGCGCCUUGGUAUUUAUUUAUGAACAGAAAUGUACAUAUUCACAAUUUCCACUUAAUUACGCUGUAAAGACGUAUUUAUAUCAAAUUCCUAGUUUUACACUGAUUCAUCUUGUUUCCGAAUUUUAUAUUAUUAUAUUCUGAAUUAUAUAUUUUAUAAUUUCAUAUUUAUGAAAUAUACCACACACACACACACACACACACACACACACACACACACACACACACACACACACACACACACACACACACACACACACACACACACACACACACACACACACACACACACACACACACAGACACACACACACACACACACACACACACACACACACAUGUUAUAUUAUAUAUGUAUAAGUCCAAAAAAUGAUUUUUUCAAAAAUUCUAGCCGGAUAGUUCAUUCUAAGCGAAAGAAGCAAUAGGAAAUUACUAUGCAUUUCUCUUAUUGUUUCUUCCACCCUAUAAUCCCUAUAAUCCAGUUGGUAUUUCUGAAAAAAUCAUUUUUCGAAUGCUUUUUCGUGUUCAAUCGUAUACGCAACAGGUUAAUAAGCUAUCAUUUAAACCCUUAAUUAAGAUCACUCAUUUUUCUCAACAAGUAAUCUUCGUGUCAGCUAAAACGUCCAACUGUUGCAAUAAUAUAACACAUAUCAAGUGUGAUCGGUUCGUGUUCGUAUUUAAGUAAGUCCUGUGCGAGUUUUACGAGCCGUAAUAAAUCACUCAUGACACUCAAACCGUUCAAUCAGUUAACGUAACGUAGAUAAUCGUCGUGACUUUCUAUUCUGCGAGGAAAUGGACGUUUGAAUCGUCGUGGAGAAGAUU